CCUUGGGAGCAUGGUGUGGGGGGGUAAUUUUUUACUGGCCCAGCGCAUGCUCGACGGGCCACGGCGAGUGGCUGGAAGCUCGAGGCAAUAACAGGUCUGUGAUGCCCUUUGAUGUUCUGGGCUGCACGCGCGCUACACUGACACUGGGAGCGAGUGACCUUUGCCGGGAGGCAUGGGGAAUCUUGAGAAACAGUGUCGUGCUGGGGAUGGACCGUUGGAAUUGUUGGUCCUGAACGAGGAAUUCCUAGUAAGCGCGAGUCAUCAGGUCGCGCUGAUUACGUCCCUGCCCUUUGUACACACCGCCCGUCGCUACUACCGAUUGGAUGGCUUGGUGAGGCGAGCGGAGGGUCAGUGGGGUCUUUUGGCCGCAGUGACGCGAAGCUUGGCAAACCUGGUGAUCUAGAGGAAGUAAAAGUCG
rnacentral:rRNA from 1 species